rnacentral:rRNA from 1 species
GAUGAACGCUGGCGGCGUGCUUAACACAUGCAAGUCGAACGGAAAGGCCCAAGCUUGCUUGGGUACUCGAGUGGCGAACGGGUGAGUAACACGUGGGUGAUCUGCCCUGCACUUCGGGAUAAGCCUGGGAAACUGGGUCUAAUACCGGAUAGGACCACGUCUUGGAUGUUGUGGUGGAAAGUUUUUUCGGUGUGGGAUGAGCUCGCGGCCUCUCAGCUUGUUGGUGGGGUAAUGGCCUACCAAGGCGUCGACGGGUAGCCGGCCUGAGAGGGUGUACGGCCACAUUGUGACAGAGAGACGGCCCAGACUCCCACGGGGGGCAGCAGUGGGGAAUAUUGCACAAUGGGCGCGAGCCUGAUGCAGCGACGCCGCGUGUGGGAUGACGGCCUUCGGGUUGUAAACUCCUUUCGCUAGGGACGAAGCGUUUUUGUGACGGUACCUGGAGAAGAAGCACCGGCUAACUACGUG